rnacentral:rRNA from 1 species
GACGAACGCUGGCGGCGUGCUUAACACAUGCAAGUCGAACGGUGAAGCCCUUCGGGGUGGAUCAGUGGCGAACGGGUGAGCAACACGUGAGCAACCUGCCCCUGGCUCUGGGACAACCACUGGAAACGGUGGCUAAUACCGGAUACGACCCGCCUCGGCAUCGAGUGUGGGUGGAAAGUUUUUCGGCUGGGGAUGGGCUCGCGGCCUAUCAGCUUGUUGGUGAGGUGAAGGCUCACCAAGGCGACGACGGGUAGCCGGCCUGAGAGGGCGACCGGCCACACUGGGACUGAGACACGGCCCAGACUCCUACGGGAGGCAGCAGUGGGGAAUAUUGCACAAUGGGCGAAAGCCUGAUGCAGCGACGCCGCGUGAGGGAUGACGGCCUUCGGGUUGUAAACCUCUUUCAGCUCCGAAGAAGCGAAAGUGACGGUAGGAGCAGAAGAAGCACCGGCUAACUACGUG